rnacentral:lncRNA from 1 species
GAGAAUUCCCAGAAGUCAGAACACUGAAUUCUGAGGUGACAUGAAUAACCUGCAGCUGGAUUGUCUUCAUGGCUCCUUCCUUGUGCUCCUUUUGCAUAGAGACCCUGGUGACAAGAGAGCUCACUGUCCAAUCUGAGGUAGUGUGUUAACCAAUAACAAUUAAUUGAUAGUUUUCUGCUAUAUAAGUGGUUGUUUGCAUAAAAUAAGGCAGACAGUGUUCCCUAACCAUCUCCAGAGAGGUUAAUCUCUGUGCUCUUUACCAACCCUGUGGGCAUGGUAGUCUUGUUAGGAGAUGCCCUGGUGACUGUUGUGGUUAGAAACGGAUAAAGAGGUAUUAAGAUAUGUUCUCUGGGGGGUGUGGUGACAACGACAGUUAACAUUUCUGUAAUCUUUGUUUUAAUAUUUGACAACUUUACUCUUUUUAAAUAUCCGUAUUAAGACCAUAAGAUCCAUAAAAUAUUUUUAAAGUUAACAACCAAGCUUGAUCAUUUAAUAAAAAUGUUACACUCCAAAUGUUCUGAGUGGUUGGAACUUAAUUUCUUAAUUGUAACAGCAAAACGCCUACUGAGAGAGGAGACAUGGCAGAAGACACUUUGUAGCAAUGUGAACCGGUGCUUGCAAGUCUGGUCAAACUAGAAGUUGUAGCUGAGUCCAGCUGUUUCUCCGAAAGCACAGGAUCAAGUGCUGUGUUAGCACAGAUACAAAAGUCUGAAAAACUGUUUACAGAACUUCCCCGUGUGAGUUUGGUUUGCAAGGAUAUGGCACUUAGGGGACAGGAAACAAGAAUAAAAUAUGUCUCAAGACUGCCCCAUCCCCUAAUUUUUACUUUCAUGAGGAAGUACUAAAGAGGCCCAUGUGAGGCUAUCUUCUUCAAGUUCUGAUACUCCAGAUCUACGAGAGGUUGCAGGUCUGCUCUAUCACAGCAGCUAGAUCUACAAGGAAGAUGAGUCAGAUGAGGGAGAAUUUUCAGUGGCCUUAGGCCAGUGAGUACUUGAUGUCACUUUUCCUGGAGUGGGGGUGAACAGAACUGAGUUACUAAUUGGUGUCAUGGACUACAAGGCCCACAAGGUAGUAGUGUUGCCAAGAAUGGGGAUGGCUCAGUCAGUUAGUUGAAGAGCCAGAACUGUCAGGUUUUGAAGGACCAAGGUGUGUCCCUGGAAUGUACCAGAUGUUAAGUAUCCAUACUUUCAACUUCUCUGUGAAGGGUGAUUACAUGAUUUAGAUAAACCUCAUUUGUUGAGAGUGUUAUUGGCUAGAUUACAAUAAAUUCUAAAGGCCAUGAACAAAUUGAUGGGUGUGAAAUCAGGGCUGCAUGGGUUGACGGGUCUAAACCACAAGCCAUCUGAGCUAUGGCAGUCAAGAGGAACAUGAAAACUGAUAGCUGAUGGAAUAGUCUGGUUUGUCAGUGAAAUUCAUUCUUUCCAGGCCUUUGUGUAACCAGCUCUGACUGUAGCUGCAGCAGGAUCUCCAUGCAUGCCAGGGAACCAGUCUGGGUUCUGAAGUUUGGCCUUGAUUCCUUGAUUUGUCUUAGCAUCUCUCCUGGAGCUAUGAUGGCUAUUGGUUUGUUACUGAUGCUACAGGAGCUUUCCAGGGACUCAGCAAGUAAGUGGCAGAAAGGGGGCAUGGAUAUCAGGAUGUCCGUGAAGUCCAGCACUAUAGUAAGAAAAUAAUUGCCUUGAAGGUUUGCAGAGGAAGCUUAUACAUGUUAAUAGUUGAGCCUGACAUCUGUGCAGUCUCAAAAUCCCACUAGUAAAGAGUCUAUUUCUUCUCUCACCUUCCAGAGUUAUCUAGUGCUUGUCUACUUGUGAGGACUUUUUGACCUAUACCUAUACUUUGACCUAUACUUUUUGGCAUUUUUGUAUGUGUACUUUCACAUUUCUGGGACUUUGGGGUUUUGGAUCCAAAUAUCUAUGGCAUUCAAGAGAACUUUUGGUUGGGAGGUGUCUAUGGGAUUUAAUUUUUGAUGUAGGAACAUGUGAUCAUCCCCAAGUCUUAGUGUUCAAUUCACUGAUAUUUCUCUUAACAGCCUUUUUGGUUUUUGCUUUUUGCUUCAAUAAAGAAUCUGAAAGAAAUUGGAAUAUUGUCAGGAUCAAAUACAGUCAGUGCUGUCAAACUCUUCCAGAAAUUAACAGUUAAAAAAGAAUUGAAGUUUUGAAAAGAGAGGUCUAUCUCAUGGCAGCUGUCACAACAGUGCUGGGACCACUAGCCUGCAGAGAAGUUGCCUUGGCCUUACAUAAAAUCCUAGAUGAAGACAUCAGCCGUCUAUUGCCUGUUCAACCUUGGCCUUAUUCUGCAUUUCCUAACCUUUGUGGCCAGGAUAUCAUUUCAAAAUAUCAUAUGCUGUCUCCUUCCUCUUCAUUUUCAACCCUUGCUUGGCCUUUGCUUCUUUGAACACACUGAGGUCCACUAAGACAUGCUUUCCCCCUCUGUGUUAUUGUUGCAUAUAUAUGACCAUCUAUGCUGUUUUUGUAUUAGUUUGAUGACACAGUUGCUUCAUGCAUUCAUAGUCCAGACUGUUGCUCCUUUUGCAUGUCUGUGGCCUGGCAGACAGAAGAGUGGCCUUGUGCCUGUGUCCCUGGAGGUCCUGUGGUGGCACUGGAAUGCCAUCAUUAGACAUAGCAUUUCAUCUUAUCUCCUGGUGCUUCUGCUCCUCUUCCUUUUGUUUGGGAAGCUAAGCUUACAUUGAAAGCAGCUUCUAACUCCUGGGGAAGGCCGAACAGCAGAGGAAUUGCAAUCGCCAAGUGCUUCAAGGCAGGUCAGAAGGUGAGGCAGGAAGCCAGCUAUCCCAGAGGAUUAUUGUAUUUUGGCAUAUGUUCAUCAUUCUCACUGCUGGACUCUGUAUUGAUGUCUCCUUUAAGCAUACCUUGACCGUAUGCCUCCCUAGCAUGCUUUCCUCUUUUGAUCCCCCCACUUGUCUAUAUCUUUUAGUCUUUCUUUUGGAUUCAGGUCAAAUUGUGUGAGUGUGUGAUUUUUGUAUAAAGAAUUAUAUGACCCACAAGUAAAAGAAAACAUGUUAAAUUUAC